rnacentral:ncRNA from 1 species
UAUAGGUUUGGUCCUAGCCUUUCUAUUAGUUGCUAGCAAAACUACACAUGCAAGUAUCCACACCCCAGUGAGAAUGCCCUACAAGUCGCCUGCGACAGUAAAGGAGCGGGCAUCAAGCACACCCCACAGGGUAGCUCAUGACGCCUUGCUUAACCACACCCCCACGGGAAACAGCAGUGAUAAAAAUUAAGCAAUAAACGAAAGUUUGACUAAGUUAUGCUCACCAAGAGUUGGUAAAUCUCGUGCCAGCCACCGCGGUCAUACGAUUGACUCUAAUUAAUAGACAUACGGCGUAAAGCGUGUUUAAGAAAACCUACAGCAAUAAAGCCAAACCUUAGCUAAGCUGUAAAAAGUCACAGCUACCGGAAGCCCAAUUACGAAAGUAACUUUAAAGUAUCUGAAGACACGAAAACUGAGAUCCAAACUGGGAUUAGAUACCCCACUAUGCUCAGCCCUAAACCUAAAAAAUUAACACAACAAAAUUCUUCGCCAGAGUACUACUAGCCAAAGCUUAAAACUCAAAGGACUUGGCGGUGCUUUAUAUCCCUCUAGAGGAGCCUGUUCUAUAAUCGAUAAACCCCGAUAAACCCUACCAACCCUUGCCAAUGCAGCCUAUAUACCGCCAUCUUCAGCGAACCCUAAAAAGGAAUAAUAGUAAGCCCAACUAUACUACAUAAGAACGUUAGGUCAAGGUGUAGCCUAUGGGUUGGAAAGAAAUGGGCUACAUUACCUAAUGUCAGGUCACUACUACCCUUACGAAAGCCCCUGUGAAACCAGGGGUCAAAGGCGGAUUUAGCAGUAAAUUAAGAAUAGAGCGCUUGAUUGAAUUUAGGCCAUGAAGCACGCACACACCGCCCGUCACCCUCCUCAAAUAUAAAUAACAGCCCCCAACCCUAUUAGUAACCUGUUACAAUUACUAGAGGAGACAAGUCGUAACAAGGUAAGCGUACUGGAAAGUGCGCUUGGAUAAUC